GAUCAAGCGCGCACGCGCGUUCCCGGAGCAGUGAUGGCGGGGGCGGAGCACAGGGGUGCGCAGGCCUCGCCCUUACCCAGAAGUUAAGAGUCACCAGCUAUCUCCGGCAGGUCCAAGUCACCAAAACAUCCGCAGACCUUUUCCCCUGGGGCAACUUGUGGGGGUUGGGGGUGGGGGCUGUUACGAGCAGUCGCCAGCCUGCCUUGAGUGCCUCGGUGAAUCAGGUGCUAGUCACCGUGGCUCCACUGACUGGUUUUUCUAAAUACGGCGGAUUUAGGCCCGGGUCGGGGGAUUCCUAUGGCUCUCCCCCACCCACGAAGACCGAGAAGGCACACGCGAUGAGAAAAGAAAAAAUGGUGACAUAAAUGACAGUUCCCCUCUUGCUUGUGGAGGUUUUGUCUGGCAGCCCAAUGCUCCAGGCCCAGAAAAGCCACAAAACCAAACCACCUAUGCCAAUGUUGACAUCUGGACGACCUGCCUUGAUUGAUUGAUGACACCCUGCCCUGGCACCUACCAACCUGUAGAGACCACAUCCCUGAAAGGACACACCUGGAAAACUGAUGAAUAUUCUACUGAGAUCCUCCCCUGGGGCCUCCCCUAAAAUCCCAACCAUUAAAAGGUUUUAGGAUGGAGGACCUAACGUGCUCUUCUUCUCUGGAGUGUGCCCACACAUUUCCUGGCUCUCUUUUCUUUCCCCCAGGUGCAUCACUUUUUCUUUCUUUCCCCUAAGCUCCAAACCCGCCUUCUUUUGCUUCUGUAACUUGUUUCCUGAACCUGUUUCUUCUAGAGCUCACUUCUUUCA